GAUGAACGCUGGCGGCGUGCCUAAUACAUGCAAGUCGAGCGAACAGACGAGGAGCUUGCUCCUCUGACGUUAGCGGCGGACGGGUGAGUAACACGUGGAUAACCUACCUAUAAGACUGGGAUAACUUCGUGAAACCGGAGCUAAUACCGGAUAAUAUAUUGAACCGCAUGGUUCAAUAGUGAAAGACGGUUUUGCUGUCACUUCUAGAUGGAUCCGCGCCGCAUUAGCUAGUUGGUAAGGUAACGGCUUACCAAGGCGACGAUGCGUAGCCGACCUGAGAGGGUGAUCGGCCACACUGGAACUGAGACACGGUCCAGACUCCUACGGGAGGCAGCAGUAGGGAAUCUUCCGCAAUGGGCGAAAGCCUGACGGAGCAACGCCGCGUGAGUGAUGAAGGUCUUCGGAUCGUAAAACUCUGUUAUUAGGGAAGAACAAAUGUGUAAGUAACUAUGCACGUCUUGACGGUACCUAAUCAGAAAGCCACGGCUAACUACGUG
rnacentral:rRNA from 1 species